rnacentral:rRNA from 1 species
AUUGAACGCUGGCGGCAUGCUUUACACAUGCAAGUCGAACGGUAACAGGCCUUCGGGUGCUGACGAGUGGCGAACGGGUGAGUAAUGCAUCGGAACGUGCCCAAUCGUGGGGGAUAACGUAGCGAAAGUUACGCUAAUACCGCAUAAGCCCUGAGGGGGAAAGCAGGGGAUCGCAAGACCUUGCGCGAAUGGAGCGGCCGAUGUCAGAUUAGCUAGUUGGUGGGGUAAAGGCCUACCAAGGCGACGAUCUGUAGCGGGUCUGAGAGGAUGAUCCGCCACACUGGAACUGAGACACGGUCCAGACUCCUACGGGAGGCAGCAGUUUGGGGAAGUAUUGGACAAUGGGGGCGAACCCUGAUCCAGCCAUGCCGCGUGUGUG